UUUUAUGGAGAGUUUGAUCCUGGCUCAGGAUGAACGCUGGCGGCGUGCCUAAUACAUGCAAGUCGAGCGAACGGACGAGAAGCUUGCUUCUCUGAUGUUAGCGGCGGACGGGUGAGUAACACGUGAAUAACCUACCUAUAAGACUGGGAUAACUUCGGGAAACCGGAGCUAAUACCGGAUAAUAUUUUGAACCGCAUGGUUCAAAAGUGAAAGACGGUCUUGCUGUCACUUAUAGAUGGAUCCGCGCUGCAUUAGCUAGUUGGUAAGGUAACGGCUUACCAAGGCAACGAUGCAUAGCCGACCUGAGAGGGUGAUCGGCCACACUGGAACUGAGACACGGUCCAGACUCCUACGGGAGGCAGCAGUAGGGAAUCUUCCGCAAUGGGCGAAAGCCUGACGGAGCAACGCCGCGUGAGUGAUGAAGGUCUUCGGAUCGUAAAACUCUGUUAUUAGGGAAGAACAUAUG
rnacentral:rRNA from 1 species